AUGCCACUUCCUGCAUUACAGCAACCUUCUCAGGCAGAGGACCCUAAUGGAGUGGAGCGACAUUCGUCCUCUCAAUGGAAGGUUUUUUUCCUCAUCUUUCACAGGGUAGCCCGGAAGUCUUAUUCUACGCUGGAAAGAAUCGUCACCGAUGGUGAGAUAAGAAAGAUAAAGUACAGUCCGAUUGCAAAGAAGCGAAGGACAUGGGCUAUGACCUUGAGGAGCCUGUCGGGCUUUCGUGAAGAACGGUCGAGGCAGAAAAGUACCCCUCGAGCCGCAUCUAAGUGA
rnacentral:lncRNA from 1 species